rnacentral:lncRNA from 1 species
GCAGAGUAGAGCACUUUUAACUGCAAGAGUGUUAGGAUAUGAACACUGCUGUUAGGAUAGAAAAGAGAAAAUCCUCAGAAGCAAGAGAAAAUCCAGUGACUGAAAAAGAAUAAGAAGAAAAACACUGACCAAGGCAAUAAUUCCAAGAAGUCAAAAAUUAAGGCCUGAGAGGAAGAAGGCAGACUAAAGAAAGUAGGAAAGAUGCAAGGAGAAAGACAGCCAUCUGCAUACCAGGAAGAGGGCCCUCACCAGACACUGGAUCUGCUGCAUCCUUGAUCUUGGGCUUCCAACCUCUAGAACCAUGUGAAAUACAUUUCUGUUGUUUAAACCA